rnacentral:rRNA from 1 species
CCUACGGGAGGCUGCAGUGGGGAAUAUUGGACAAUGGGGGGAACCCUGAUCCAGCCAUGCCGCGUGUGUGAAGAAGGCCCUCGGGUUGUAAAGCACUUUCAGUGAGGAAGAACGCCUGGUGGUUAAUACCCAUCAGGAAAGACAUCACUCACAGAAGAAGCACCGGCUAACUCCGUGCCAGCAGCCGCGGUAAUACGGAGGGUGCGAGCGUUAAUCGGAAUUACUGGGCGUAAAGCGCGCGUAGGUGGCUUGAUAAGCCGGUUGUGAAAGCCCCGGGCUCAACCUGGGAACGGCAUCCGGAACUGUCAAGCUAGAGUGCAGGAGAGGAAGGUAGAAUUCCCGGUGUAGCGGUGAAAUGCGUAGAGAUCGGGAGGAGUACCAGUGGCGAAGGCGGCCUUCUGGACUGACACUGACACUGAGGUGCGAAAGCGUGGGUAGCAAACAGGAUUAGAUACCCUUGUAGUC